CACGUAGGGCGCGAGCGUUGUCCGGAAUUAUUGGGCGUAAAGAGCUCGUAGGCGGUUUGUCGCGUCUGCUGUGAAAACCUGAGGCUCAACCUCGGGCUUGCAGUGGGUACGGGCAGACUAGAGUGUGGUAGGGGAGACUGGAAUUCCUGGUGUAGCGGUGAAAAUGCGCAGAUAUCAGGAGGAACACCGAUGGCGAAGGCAGGGUCUCUGGGGGC
rnacentral:rRNA from 1 species